rnacentral:rRNA from 1 species
AGUGAACGCUGGCGGUAGGCCUAACACAUGCAAGUCGAACGGCAGCACAGUAAGAGCUUGCUCUUACGGGUGGCGAGUGGCGGACGGGUGAGGAAUACAUCGGAAUCUACUUUUUCGUGGGGGAUAACGUAGGGAAACUUACGCUAAUACCGCAUACGACCUACGGGUGAAAGCAGGGGAUCUUCGGACCUUGCGCGAUUGAAUGAGCCGAUGUCGGAUUCGCUAGUUGGCGGGGUAAAGGCCCACCAAGGCGACGAUCCGUAGCUGGUCUGAGAGGAUGAUCAGCCACACUGGAACUGAGACACGGUCCAGACUCCUACGGGAGGCAGCAGUGGGGAAUAUUGGACAAUGGGCGCAAGCAUGAUCCAGCCAUACCGCGUGGGUGAAGAAGGCCUUCGGGUUGUAAAGCCCUUUUGUUGGGAAAGAAAAGCAGCAGGUUAAUACCCCGCUGUUCUGACGGUACCCAAAGAAUAAGCACCGGCUAACUUCGUG